GUAGGUGGCAAGCGUUGUCCGGAAUUAUUGGGCGUAAAGCGCGCGCAGGCGGUUCUUUAAGUCUGAUGUGAAAGCCCACGGCUCAACCGUGGAGGGUCAUUGGAAACUGGAGAACUUGGGUACAGAAGAGGAAAGCGGAAUUCCACGUGUAGCGGUGAAAUGCGUAGAGAUGUGGAGGAACACCAGUGGCGAAGGCGGCUUUCUGGUCUGUAACUGACGCUGAGGCGCGAAAGCGUGGGGAGCAAACAGGGAUUAGAUACCCUGGUAGUCCACGCCGUAAACGAUGAGUGCUAAGUGUUAGGGGGUUUCCCGCCCCUUAGUGCUGCAGCUAACGCAUUAAGCACUCCGCCUGGGGAUACGCCGCAAGGCUG
rnacentral:rRNA from 1 species